CAAAAGGUAGUUUAAUAAAAAUGCUAGUUUUGGGGGCUAGUGAUGGGGGAUUAUGUCCUUCUCUUUUGA
rnacentral:tRNA from 1 species